UUUCUAUCCAGAGAGGUGGAGGGACUGGCCCUACGAAACCUCGGCAAAAACGUGCCAAUUCCAGCAAGCUUGAAUCGCUUGGGAGAUAGGAA
rnacentral:ncRNA from 2 species